rnacentral:rRNA from 1 species
UUUGGAGGGAGCCGCCUAAGGCGGGACAGAUGACUGGGGUGAAGUCGUAACAAGGUAGCCGUAGGAGAACCUGCGGCUGGAUCACCUCCUUUCUAAGGAA